rnacentral:rRNA from 1 species
UACGAAGGGGGCUAGGCGUUGUUCGGAUUUACUGGGCGUAAAGCGCACGUAGGCGGAUCGAUCAGUCAGGGGUGAAAUCCCAGAGCUCAACUCUGGAACUGCCUUUGAUACUGUCGAUCUGGAGUAUGGAAGAGGUGAGUGGAAUUCCGAGUGUAGAGGUGAAAUUCGUAGAUAUUCGGAGGAACACCAGUGGCGAAGGCGGCUCACUGGUCCAUUACUGACGCUGAGGUGCGAAAGCGUGGGGAGCGAACAGG